UCCCUUCGGGGACAUCCGAUAAAAUUGGAACGAUACAGAGAAGAUUAGCAUGGCCCCUGCGUAAGGAUGACACGCACAAAUCGAGAAAUGGAUAUCAUAUUAUCAUCUCAUGGUUGUGGGUGAUAAUGAGCUUGGAGGUCCUUGAUGAGAUGUGCAACUCGAAUCUAAGUUGUAGAUGAUGUAUAGUAUACCAGCAUGCACUUUGUGGAUACCUUUUAGAGCUUGGAUGUGCUUGAUGAAAUGCGUGACUGGAGUCUGAGUUCCUCCAUUGCUGUGAUUGAUUCCGGAUGCUGUACAGGAUUCUUGUCCCUUGAUCAAAGUCUCUUUGGAAAAAUCAAAACUGCAAACAAAAACAGUUGAUAUAUAGAGUUCAAUUCAAUCCAAAAAUUUAGCAAUGGCCAAGUUUGAGGACACCAUCACAAUGGUUGCACUAAUCCUCCUCGCAAUCUCCUUUGCCGCCGUCUCAAGAGAAUUCGCCUAUGAACCGUCAUCUGCCAAUGCCAUAACCGGUGACGAUCCUUUCUACACCGGAAUUUUCGACAUUACAAUAUUUGCCAAUGAACCAAGUUAUGCAGAGGGACCAAAUGAAUACAUGGAUCAAGUUGUCAAUAAGGACAAUGACUACCCUGUUUCAGAUGGUUUUGUCAUAAAUGAUUCAAUUUUAGGGUUAGGGUUAGGGUUCAUCAACCCUUUUGGCUGGCUCAGUAGCAUUUGGGAUUUUGUCAAGAGUUACUUGACUGAUGAGUAGUUUCUUUGUUUACUUUUGUGGGACAAUGAGAAGAGUUCCAUGAGACCUUAAUUUGGUGGUUGUUUUCUUAUAAUCAUGUAUGAUUUUAAUGAGCUUAAAUUUUAAUAGAUA